ACAGCCUUGCAUAAUAUAAGUAACCUGCUAUUUGUGGUAAUGCCUGUUCCUCCAAUUAUAUAGCAUUCAGUUAUUCAGAAUCUGCUUCAACCACCUCAAUCUUAACAUUUGAAUUAAUUUCAUAAAUAAAAAUUAAGUUUCUAUAUGGAAAAAUAGCGGAGCAUUAUUUGUGUGUGGACUUGGCACGUAGCAUUUGAAUUGUACUCAUUAAGUCUUUAAUAGUGUCUUGAAUGGGUUGGCUCUGGAG